GACGAACGCUGGCGGCGUGCUUAACACAUGCAAGUCGAACGCUAAGGCCCUGCUUUUGUUGGGUGCUCGAGUGGCGAACGGGUGAGUAACACGUGAGUAACCUGCCCUUGACUUUGGGAUAACUUCAGGAAACUGUGGCUAAUACCGGAUAGUAUCUCCUGCUGCAUGGUAGGCGUUUGAAAGUUUCGGCGGUUGGGGUUGGACUCGCGGCUUAUCAGCUUUUUGGUGUGGUAGUGGCUUACCAAGGCUUUGACGGGUAGCCGGCCUGAGAGGGUGACCGGCCACAUUGGGACUGAGAUACGGCCCAGACUCCUACGGGAGGCAGCAGUGGGGAAUAUUGCACAAUGGGCGGAAGCCUGAUGCAGCAACGCCGCGUGCGGGAUGACGGCCUUCGGGUUGUAAACCGCUUUCGCCUGUGACGAAGCGUGAGUGACGGUAAUGGGUAAAGAAGCACCGGCUAACUACGUG
rnacentral:rRNA from 1 species